rnacentral:lncRNA from 1 species
UUCGGAGAAAAAAUAUAUUAAAGCCUGCUUUUGUGUAGUGAAAAUACUCUGUUGAAAAGAAAUAAAAUAGUAAAUUUUCUAAAAUUAGGUCUAGCCAAAGCUUCUUUUUAAUCAAUAAGGCUCUUUUGAUAAACUCUACUGUUGUUACUAAGGGUAAUUAUGUAAGAUUUCGAUAGUAAACUUCUUGUUCUCUCUCUGUUGAGGAAGAAUUGCUAUCUUCUACCCUCUUAGAAAACUAAGAUGACCCUUGCAUUGAAGGGAUUCAUAGCCUUAUACUUUUUGUUAACAUAAUACAUUAAUAAUUAUAGAAGACAGGUUGGAUUAAUAUGCACCUGCCUGUACCUUUUAUGUUCAAUAGUUUAUUAUAAUGUAAUAGUAAUUGUAUUGGCUUUCCUAUUAAGUAGAUCAUGUCAUCAUAGGAUAAAUACUGUCUUGAGCUCACGUGGAUGAGAUGUGAGUUGUGGUUUUGAUGGGUGAAACACAGGGAUUCUGAAUUUUAUGUGUUAGAAAAGAGAUAUUCUUUUUGGCUUAUACAUCAGGAAGGUUGUAACAAAAGAGAAUGAGGAGGUUGAGGCUGAAGGCUGCCUUUGGGCUGGCUUGAAGCGAGCUGGUAGAACCCUGUGUUUCCUGGCCUGUAUUUUCCUCCAUAGCUCCUAUAGCUAUAUGGAGUGCCCAGUCUUUGCUUCUGCCAAGGACUCCGUCCUGGUACCCUCAGAGGACCACCGUUCUUCUGCAGUUAAAUGAUAAUACCUGAUAUUUCAGCAUCUUCAUAAUUAUGCCUCUUAGGACUCCAAGAAAACCAAGAAAUAAUUGUGUGCAUGACUCAAGUUUGGAGAAAAAAAAGUCCCCAACAUUAGCAGUUGAAAUUUAAAAGGCAAGUCACCUGAGUAAAUUAAUUAAUAGCAUUUGCAGAAGUCUAUUUCAACACUCUAAACUGCUGUGACUUUCAUGAAAAAUUCAUAGAGGCUGGAAAUUAUAUUUCAUUCAUUUUGAUUACCUUCUCAAUAUCUAAAAGCAGCAGCCUAACAUAAGUUCUCACUUAUGUCAGAUGAUUUAUUGUUAUUAAUAUUAGCAAUAAAUUUUAUUUAAUUUGUUGUUUCACCAGAAAUUUAGAGGAAAGUAGAAUUGAAAUAAAGAUCCUGUGUUCUACUACAGUGCACCCCCUGGAAACUCUUCUGCUGUAGUCAUGUGCUGUAACAUCACAUAUUUCAUCAUGGAAAAUGACGACAAUCUACAUUAAACUCUAUCUGGAAAUGAAAGCCUCUGAUGUGUUUGGCAUGUAUGCCUUAGCUUAUAAAAUAUUAACCAGUACACACAGAACUCUGUCUACUAAGGAAAGAAAUAGGCUUGAAAGUUUUGAUGAAGAAACUAUUCUUUUGAAUUUCCUUCUAGAAAUUUCCUUAUAACUUUGAGGUAGGCACACAGAAAGACAGUAGAGGAAAUUCUUUGCUUUUAGUUAACAAAAUGCUUGGAUAUCAACAUCAAGGAGGAUGUAAUAGAAAUGAUUCUCUGAGUAGACCAGGAUAAGACCUAUGAGUUAAGUGUUACCUUCCUAGGAGACCACCAUGGACGUUGAGAUCUAUAAAUGCUCUCAGUAUUGUUAUUGAAAAAUAUUUUUCAAAACUCAUGAAAGAAACGACCUUAAUUUUUCGGAGAAUCAUAUUAUCAUUUGCUAUUAAACAUAUUAUCAUCUUCUAUUGUUUAAUUUACUAUACUUUAAGAAGAUAUUUGGUUUAUGAUAUAUUAAAAUGGAGAUAGAAGAGUAUUAGAGAACAAUUGGAUGGGUUGAUAGUUGGUUCUUUGGCGCACGCCUUUAAUCCCAGCACUCGGGAGGCGGGAGGCAGGUGGCAGGAAGCAGGAAAGAAGAGGCAAGAGGCAAGAGGC